UGGACAAUGGGCGAAAGCCUGAUCCAGCCAUUCCGCGUGAGUGAAGAAGGCCUUCGGGUUGUAAAGCUCUUUCGCAAGGGAAGAAAACUUACACAAUAACACUGUGUGAGGCUGACGGUACCUUGAUAAGAAGCACCGGCUAACUACGUGCCAGCAGCCGCGGUAAUA
rnacentral:rRNA from 1 species